GCUGGGUGUGGUGUUGCACACCUGUAAACCCAGCUCAGGAGGCUGAGGCAGGAGGAUCACAAGUUAAAAGCCAGCCUCAACCACUUAGUGAGGUCUUAAGCAAUUUGGCAAGAACCUGUCUCAA
rnacentral:sRNA from 1 species